rnacentral:rRNA from 1 species
UAGGGAAUCUUCCGCAAUGGACGCAAGUCUGACGGAGCAACGCCGCGUGAGUGAAGAAGGAUUUCGGUUCGUAAAACUCUGUUGUUAGAGAAGAACAGCGCAUAGAGUAACUGUUAUGCGUGUGACGGUAUCUAACCAGAAAGCCACGGCUAACUACGUGCCAGCAGCCGCGGUAAUACGUAGGUGGCAAGCGUUGUCCGGAUUUAUUGGGCGUAAAGCGAGCGCAGGCGGUCAAUUAAGUCUGAUGUGAAAGCCCCCGGCUCAACAGGGGAGGGUCAUUGGAAACUGGUUGACUUGAGUGCAGAAGAGGAGAGUGGAAUUCCAUGUGUAGCGGUGAAAUGCGUAGAUAUAUGGAGGAACACCAGUGGCGAAGGCGACUCUCUGGUAUGUAACUGACGCUGAGGCUCGAAAGCGUGGGUAGCAAACAGG